AGAAAUAUAGGUUGAGUCUGGACUUCUAAUUUAGAUUCGGGUGGUUCGAACCAUUCAUUUCUU
rnacentral:tRNA from 1 species